rnacentral:lncRNA from 1 species
GUCCGCUAUUGUCACUUGACAUGGGUCGGAUAUCUUCGAAUCUUGCGAUGAUCAAAACUCAGUUUCUUACCAUAUCAUAUCUCAUAUAGUGUAGUAAGAAUAGAUCUAGAGGGAAUCCAAUUAACUAUCUUAUUAGUGGUAAGCUAAGCAUGUUGCCCAAAUGAAUAAGAAAAAAGUCAGAGAAGCUCAUUAUGGAUCGAACCAUAUCCAAU